rnacentral:tRNA from 1 species
GGGGAAAUAUUCCGUAGAUAGUAGCGGGGCAGACUGUAAAUCUGUUGCCUUCGGGCUCGGGUGGUGCAACUCCAUCUUUCCCCA